ACACGUGUGUGUACUUGUUCAAUUGUAUGCAAGUUCAAGUGCCUACUUACGCACACCCAAAGUUGGAGGUCAUACAUGUGAUUUGAUGCCAAGUUAAAGGGUGUGUUUAUGUAUUAUGCCUUUAGUUAAUGAACCAACAAUGUCUGCUUAGCUGCUAUAAUCUCGUGUUGCAGGUCGUGCACAUGCUGCAGCUCAAAGGGGUGUCUAUUCCAGAACUUAAAUGCAAAUAUCUAACGUUAAAGUUGGAUGAAGAGUUUAGUUUGGAUGGAGCAGCUGGUAUUUUGCGAGCCAUGCCGCAUGUGGAAACGCUCAACAUGGACGUGUUUACGCGGGUAAUUGCUUGGAACUUUUUCUCUUCUUUUUUACUUGGCAUAAUACAUAAACAUGCCCUUUAACUUGGUAUCAAUUCGCAUCUAUGACCUCCAACUUUGGAUAUGCACAAAUAGAAACUUAAAACUUGUAUAAAGUUAAACAAGUAGACACACACGUCCUACGUGUCAUAAUACACGUAGAACGUCAUCUAGGCUGAUACCACUAAUGUUUUUAAGUAAUGAUUAUAUUCUUCGUCUCAGUUUGUUAGGUGCCGGUGCGACUUUGAGUUAAGAUGUUUGGCCGAAGGAGAUAGUAUUGAUUUGCAGAGUUGGAUUU
rnacentral:lncRNA from 1 species